rnacentral:misc_RNA from 1 species
GUGAAUCAUCGAAUCUUUGAACGCACAUUGCGCUUCCUGGUAUUCCGGGGAGCAUGCUCGUUUCAGAAUCAGUAAAACAACCCAACAUUUUGAUGUUUUAUAAACAUUAAUGUGCUGGUUUUAUGGUGGUGUUUGUUUAUGUAAAUAGACAAUCCACUAAAAAAUUCUGGAUGCUUGAAUCAGUCUUUUACGACGUGAGUCUAUACACUGCAACAGAUAAUGAAUCAGUAUAUGGGAGCAUGACAUGAAAGCUCUUUUGAGUAUCUUCAAAUCAAUUAAGAUUGAAUAAGCUUUUGCUCA